rnacentral:rRNA from 1 species
AUUGAACGCUGGCGGAAUGCUUUACACAUGCAAGUCGAACGGUAGAGGGGGCAACCCCUUGAGAGUGGCGAACGGGUGAGUAAUAUAUCGGAACGUGCCCGGUCGUGGGGGAUAACGUAGCGAAAGCUACGCUAAUACCGCAUACGAUCUACGGAUGAAAGCGGGGGAUCGCAAGACCUCGCGCGAUUGGAGCGGCCGAUAUCAGAUUAGGUAGUUGGUGAGGUAAAGGCUCACCAAGCCGACGAUCUGUAGCUGGUCUGAGAGGACGACCAGCCACACUGGGACUGAGACACGGCCCAGACUCCUACGGGAGGCAGCAGUGGGGAAUUUUGGACAAUGGGCGCAAGCCUGAUCCAGCAAUGCCGCGUGCAGGAUGAAGGCCUUCGGUUGUAAACUGCUUUGUACGGUACGAAACGGUGAGCUCUAAUACAGUUUGCUAAUGACGGUACCGUAAGAAUAAGACACCGGCUAACUACGUA